rnacentral:rRNA from 1 species
GACGAACGCUGGCGGCGUGCUUAACACAUGCAAGUCGAACGAAGUGGCGAACGGGUGAGUAACGCGUAAUCAACCUGCCCUUCAGAGGGGGACAACAGUUGGAAACGACUGCUAAUACCGCAUACUGAAGGACGGGCUUGCGUCUGAUUAGCUAGUUGGAGGGGGAACGGCCCACCAAGGCGAUGAUCAGUCGCCGGGCUGAGAGGAUGAACGGCCAAAUUGGGACGGAGACACGGCCCAGAUGCCUACGGGAGGCAGCAGGGGGGAAUCUUCCGCAAUGGACGAAAGUCUGACGGAGCAACGCCGCGUGAGUGAUGACGGCCUUCGGGUUGUAAAGCUCUGUUAAGCGGGACGCGGUACCGGAAUAGAAAGCCACGGCUAACUACGUGCCAGCAGCCGCGGUAAUAC